rnacentral:rRNA from 1 species
AUCAUGCAGUCGAGCGAACUGAUUAGAAGCUUGCUUCUAUGACGUUAGCGGCGGACGGGUGAGUAACACGUGGGCAACCUGCCUGUAAGACUGGGAUAACUUCGGGAAACCGAAGCUAAUACCGGAUAGGAUCUUCUCCUUCAUGGGAGAUGAUUGAAAGAUGGUUUCGGCUAUCACUUACAGAUGGGCCCGCGGUGCAUUAGCUAGUUGGUGAGGUAACGGCUCACCAAGGCAACGAUGCAUAGCCGACCUGAGAGGGUGAUCGGCCACACUGGGACUGAGACACGGCCCAGACUCCUACGGGAGGCAGCAGUAGGGAAUCUUCCGCAAUGGACGAAAGUCUGACGGAGCAACGCCGCGUGAGUGAUGAAGGCUUUCGGGUCGUAAAACUCUGUUGUUAGGGAAGAACAAGUACAAGAGUAACUGCUUGUACCUUGACGGUACCUAACCAGAAAGCCACGGCUAACUACGUGCCAGCAGCCGCGGUAAUACGUAGGUGGCAAGCGUUAUCCGGAAUUAUUGGGCGUAAAGCGCGCGCAGGCGGUUUCUUAAGUCUGAUGUGAAAGCCCACGGCUCAACCGUGGAGGGUCAUUGGAAACUGGGGAACUUGAGUGCAGAAGAGAAAAGCGGAAUUCCACGUGUAGCGGUGAAAUGCGUAGAGAUGUGGAGGAACACCAGUGGCGAAGGCGGCUUUUUGGUCUGUAACUGACGCUGAGGCGCGAAAGCGUGGGGAGCAAACAGGAUUAGAUACC